CAGAGUUGCAAAACUCCCACAAACCAUCGCGAAUCUUACCCGUACGGUUGCCUCGGCGCUGGCGGUCCGGAAGGCCCUCGGGCCCCCCCGGAUCCUCGGGUCUCCCGCUCGCGGGAGGCUGCCCGCCGGAGUGCCGAAACCAAACUCUUGAUAUUUUAUGUCUCUCUGAGUAAGCUUUUAAAUAAGUCA
rnacentral:misc_RNA from 1 species